UUGGGUUAAGUGCGUGCAGGCGGUCGAGUAAGUCAGAUGUGAAGCCUUCCGCUCAACGGAAGAAGUGCAUUUGAGACUGCUCGGCUAGAGUACGGGAGAGGAGAGUGGAAUUCCCGGUGUAGAGGUGAAAUUCGUAGAUAUCGGGAGGAACACCAGUGGCGAAGGCGGCUCUCUGGGUCCCGAUACUGACGCUGAGACGCGAAAGCGUGGGGAGCAAACAGGAUUAGAUA
rnacentral:rRNA from 1 species